rnacentral:rRNA from 1 species
UACGGAGGAGGCAAGCGUUAUCCGGAAUGAUUGGGCGUAAAGCGUCCGUAGGUGGUUUUUCCAGUCGGCUGUUAAAGAGCAAAGCUCAACUUUGUAAAGGCAGUGGAAACUGAAAGACUAGAGAGCCGUAGGGGUAGAGGGAAUUCCCGGUGUAGCGGUGAAAUGCGUAGAUAUCAGGAAGAACACCGGUGGCGAAAGCGCUCUGCUAGGCCGCAACUGACACUGAGGGACGAAAGCUAGGGGAGCGAAUGGG